rnacentral:rRNA from 1 species
UACGUAGGGGGCAAGCGUUGUCCGGAAUCAUUGGGCGUAAAGCGCGUGUAGGCGGUCCGGUAAGUCCGCUGUGAAAGUCGGGGGCUCAACCCUCGAAUGCCGGUGGAUACUGUCGGGCUAGAGUGCGGAAGAGGCGAGUGGAAUUCCUGGUGUAGCGGUGGAAUGCGCAGAUAUCAGGAGGAACACCAAUAGCGAAGGCAGCUCGCUGGGACGUACUGACACUGAGGCGCGAAAGCGUGGGGAGCGAACAGG